rnacentral:rRNA from 1 species
UACGUAGGGUGCGAGCGUUAAUCGGAAUUACUGGGCGUAAAGCGUGCGCAGGCGGUUAUGUAAGACAGAUGUGAAAUCCCCGGGCUCAACCUGGGAACUGCAUUUGUGACUGCAUGGCUAGAGUACGGUAGAGGGGGGAUGGAAUCCGCGUGUAGCAGUGAAAUGCGUAGAUAUGCGGAGGAACACCGAUGGCGAAGGCAAUCCCCUGGACCUGUACUGAGCUCAUGCACGAAAGCGUGGGGAGCAAACAGGAUUAGAUACCCCGGUGUCA